rnacentral:rRNA from 1 species
UACGGAGGGUGCAAACGUUGCUCGGAAUCAUUGGGCGUAAAGCGCACGUAGGCGGACCGCUAAGUCGGAUGUGAAAGCCCUCGGCUUAACCGAGGAAGUGCAUUCGAAACUGACGGUCUUGAGUAUGGAAGAGGGUCGCGGAAUUCCCGGUGUAGAGGUGAAAUUCGUAGAUAUUCGCAAGAACACCAGUGGCGAAGGCGGCUCACUGGCCCGGAACUGACGCUGAGGCACGAAAGCGUGGGGAGCAAACAGG